rnacentral:lncRNA from 1 species
AUCCCAACCUCCCACUGUUCCUCGUUUCCCCCUCUAUCUGUGGCAUACUCUAAGUGUUCCCACUCACACCGCCUUCCCCCUCCGUCACAAACUCCACUCAUGCUGCCUACUCCUCCUCUCUUUCCCCCUUGCUGCUCACCCGGUCCUACUCUCUCCCAAGGCUCCAGCAAUCACACUCCACUCCCUGAUAGACCUCACUCACGCCGCGAAUCCUUUUCUCUCCCGACCUUCACUCACUCUGCCUCCCUACCUCUCUCUCGAACUUCACUCUCACCACUAUCAAAUCUUUCUCUCUUUUCCCGCGAUGCUCACGCAGGCCAGCUCCCUCUCAUGCCUCACUCACACCACUACUCUUUCUCUCUCCUCCCGCAAUGCUCACGCAGGCCAGCUCCCUCUCACACAUCUCACUAACACCACAAAUCCUUCUCUCUCCCGGCCUCCACUCACUCUGCACCCCUACCUCUCUCUCGGACCUCACUCACACCACCAUCCUCCUUCUCUCUCAUCCUGCGGUACUCACGUGGCUAACUUCCUUCCACCUACCUCACUCAACGCACACACACACCCUACACGGCCUCCUCCAUACACCGCCACCUCCAUGAGCAUACACCAAUCCACACCACACCUCCCAAUUUCUCAUCCACAUUUUAAAUCCUAAAUCUACACAGGAAAUUGAAUUUUUACCGUACCUCCCAUUUCCAUCAUCCUUCCUCCUGCCGAUCACGCUAUCACCGUCUGCGGUCUCCUUUUCUCUCCCGUCUCGCUUCUCUCUCUUUCUGGAACCUUCCUUCCUUUCUUCUUUCUCCUUCUCGCUCUUUUCUUUCUUUAUUUUUUUUUUCUCUUUUAUUUUUUUUCUUUUCUUUCCUUUUUCUUUCCUUCCCCAUCCCCUAUUUAUAU